AAUAUUGGACAAUGGGGGCAACCCUGAUCCAGCCAUGCCGCGUGUGUGAAGAAGGUCNNNGGAUUNUCAAGCACUUUAAGUUGNGAGNAAGGGCUUUAGUCUAAUACCCUGAAGUUUUGACGUUACCAACAGAAUAUGCACCUGCUAACUCUGUGCUCGCAGCCGCGGUAAUACAGAGGGUGCAAGCGUUAAUCGGAAUUACCGGGUGUAAGGCGCGCGUAGGUGGUUCAGUAAGAUGGGUGUGAAAUCCCCGGGCUUAACCUGGGAACUGCUUUCAUAACUGCUGAGCUAGAGUACGGUAGAGGGUAGUGGAAUUUCCUGUGUAGCGGUGAAAUGCGUAGAUAUAGGAAGGAACACCAGUGGCGAAGGCGACUACCUGGACUGAUACUGACACUGAGGUGCGAAAGCGUGGGGAGCAAA
rnacentral:rRNA from 1 species